GAGCACGUAGGUGGGUUUGUAAGUCAGAUGUGAAAGCCUUCCGUUCAACGGAAGAAUUGCAUCUGAAACUGCGAGUCUUGAGUAUAGGAGGGGAGAAUGGAACUUCUGGUGGAGCAGUGAAAUGCGUAGAUAUCAGAAGGAACUCCGGCGGCGAAAGCGAUUCUCUGGCCUAUUACUGACACUCAGUGUGCGAAAGCUAGGGGAGCAAACGGGAUUAGAUACCCCGGUAGUCCUAGCCGUAAACGAUGGGCACUAAGUAGAGGGGUUUU
rnacentral:rRNA from 1 species